CCUACGGGUGGCAGCAGUGAGGAAUAUUGGUCAAUGGGCGCAAGCCUGAACCAGCCAAGUAGCGUGAAGGAUGACUGCCCUACGGGUUGUAAACUUCUUUUAUCAAGGAAUAAAGUGAGGCACGUGUGCCUUUUUGUAUGUACUUUAUGAAUAAGGAUCGGCUAACUCCGUGCCAGCAGCCGCGGUAAUACGGAGGAUCCGGGCGUUAUCCGGAUUUAUUGGGUUUAAAGGGAGCGUAGGGGGCUUGUUAAGUCUGUUGUGAAAGUUUGCGGCUCAACCGUAAAAUUGCAAUUGAUACUGGCAGUCUUGAGUACACGGGAGGUAGGCGGAAUUCGUGGUGUAGCGGUGAAAUGCUUAGAUAUCACGAAGAACUCCGAUUGCGAAGGCAGCUUACUAAACUGCCACUGACGUUGAUGCUCGAAAGUGUGGGUAUCGAACAGGAUUAGAUACCCCAGUAGUC
rnacentral:rRNA from 1 species